rnacentral:rRNA from 1 species
UACGUAGGGGGCAAGCGUUGUCCGGAUUUAUUGGGCGUAAAGAGCGUGUAGGCGGCCUGAAAGGUCAGCUGUGAAAACUCGAGGCUCAACCUCGAGACGUCGGUUGAAACCAUCUGGCUAGAGUCCGGAAGAGGAGUGUGGAAUUCCCGGUGUAGCGGUGAAAUGCGCAGAUAUCGGGAGGAACACCGGUGGCGAAGGCGGGUCUCUGGGCCAUUACUGACGCUGAGGAGCGAAAGCGUGGGGAGCGAACAGG